GCAAUAGUGACUGGAUGAAGAGGCUC
rnacentral:piRNA from 1 species